rnacentral:rRNA from 1 species
UACGGGGGGGGCAAGCGUUGUUCGGAAUUACUGGGCGUAAAGGGCUUGUAGGCGGCCAACUAAGUCCGACGUGAAAUCCCCAGGCUUAACCUGGGAACUGCGUCGGAUACUGGAUGGCUUGAAUUCGGGAGAGGGAUGCAGAAUUCCAGGUGUAGCGGUGAAAUGCGUAGAUAUCUGGAGGAAUACCGGUGGCGAAGGCGGCAUCCUGGACCGACAUUGACGCUGAGGAGCGAAAAGCUAGGGGGAGCAAACGGGG